rnacentral:lncRNA from 1 species
AAAAAACAACAUAGACUGCAGCCGACUGGACAAAAUCGCUCAUUCAUGCAAAUGAAUACAAUCAUGCAUUAAUACUCAAAAGAACAACGGGCCACAUACAAAGUAGAUGAACAUAUAGCAACAAGAAAAUAGUAAUCACAGAGUACUAAUUCUCAUCACACGUGUAUGGAACAAUAGAAAGAAAUUGAAUACAGGGAAUACUACACCACUUAUUCUAAUAAUAGCACACUGUGGCUCCGUAUUGGGUCUCCUCCGUCAAGUGUCGUAUAUAAGUAUCCCAUCAAUUAUGUGUUGCCGGUGGUUUGCACUUCGGAGGCGGCUUCGGUUUCGGUUCAGGUUUAGGCUUGGGCUCCGGCUUUGGUUCGGGUUUCGGCAUCGGCUCGGGCUUAGGACCUGGCUUUGGUUUGGAGCAGGGCUCGGGCUUUGGUUUUGGCAUUGGCUUGGGCUUGGGUUCUGGUUCGGGCUUCUCUCCGGGCUUUUGUUUAGGCUUUGGUUUGGGUUUUGGCAUCGGUUCAGGUUUGCAGGGCUCUGGCUCUGGUUGUGGCGCAGGUUUGGACAUUGGCUCUGGUUGUGGCGCAGGUUUGGACAUUGGCUCUGCUUUGGGUUCUGGCUUUGGCUCUAGCUCUGCAAAAUUCUCGACAGCAGCAAGGCCUCGGCCAGCCGCAACAACUUGGUUGAGAGUGGAGGCUGCAACUACCCCGAUGAGGAGCACGGCGAGGAGGCGAUGCCUCGCCAUUGCUGCCUACUUCUUGUGCUUGCAAGUUGUGUUGCACCUGUUGUGGUUUGUGUGUGUUUGUGUAUGUUGUGUGGAGAAUGGAGAUACAUAUGGUGUGGUUUUAUAGGCAGGGUGAAACAAAGCAGAUCUAGAUGCUGCAUUAAUUAACAUUGCAGCUAGCUAGCUGGAGUGACAAGUAGUACUGCGUAACAUGGCAAUGGAGCUAUAUUGGUCGAUUAGUUGAUUACAAAUGAAGCAACCAACGUAGCUAGAGGUGUUAAUAAGCACAGCUGGAUUUUGCGUGUGUGUCUCUAUGUGAUGAUAGUGGGGUGAGUAACAAUAUUUUUACUCUAUUGGUUGGCCUCCUGGUAGUAAUAGAAUCAUGUUAGUUGCCUUGUCAGUCCUGUUCACACGUCCAUGUGACCGGCCAUCAUUUAGAAAUCAAGAUCGAUGCUGUACACGUUAGUGCCAUUACAAAGUAGAAAAAGAAAAAGAAAAAAGCAACCGCUUCAGUUCAAUUCACAAUUCCAAGUUUUUGCGCACUCGUGUUUUCUCAAGCACUCUAUCUAGCCCGGUAUAGUUGGGCAGUUUCAGAAUUGUAGAUACCAAUGAGGAUUUUAUCAUGCUUAUUGUCUCAAAUUAUUAAAUCUUAUAACUCUCUGAUAAGCUAGGUUAUUUUGACGUUGCAUGCCCCUCAUUCUCCAGUCUCAUGCAUGCGUGUGCUUUAGACUUUAGUUAUGCAUGUAUGAUUUUCCAAAAAGGGUUUCAUGGAGACGGAGCUCCAAAACGAACUGGGUUGGUGAGUUUAGCACCGCCAUAUAUUCUGAUAGAGUAAGGAUUAUAUUGUGGUAAUGUUCUUUCCCUCCGUUUGUCAUAUUUUGAAUCAAGAGGGUUUCAUUGUAAUUCUUAGUUAUAGGAGUUAUUUUAUAAUUUCUUGUAUCUAUGAUCGAAGCAUUGUAUCUAUGAUUUUGUUGAGUUUGAAUAAAGUCACAUGCCCUUCUGAGCCACGCGGAAUACCGCACCACCAAUCGCGCUCACGCUUGAGACCGCCGUCGCCGGUGGCUGAUCUCCCUCCUCUGGUCGCCUCCGGCCCAGCCAAGUACAGAUCCGGGACCCUCCCGACGUCCUCUCUCCAGCCAUCCCGAAGUUUGGCACCGUCUUCACCGGUUCUCUCCCCGCUGAGCGGCUCGAGUUGGGCCCUCCACCUCUCCCGGUCCCGGUCACGUGCGGCUGCGCGGCCGCAUCGGGGCGCCCCUGUGGGCCCGAGCAAGCCCCCUGCGCCUUUCUAUUCUCUCGCCUCCGCCGAAGCCGUCGCGGGGCAAAAUCCUGGCAGCAGGACCCCUCGGUCAUCGUUCUCGAGCGUGGGGGCGGCGCUACUCCAGGCGGUGAUGCUCCGGUGUCAGGGGAUCCUUCCUUGGCUUGUGGAGCUGCGGUGGCGGCGGUGAGCCACAAUUUUGGAUGGCGGCGCGGCGCCGUCGUUUAGGCCGGUGUCUCCGGUGGUCGUGGAGGUGCUGGUCGUCCGGUUAGAGGUGACGAGGUCAUGGCUGAUGCUGGAGGAUGUGGCUGGAGCUGAUGCGGGGUGUGCCGUUGCUACUACGGGGCGGAUCUAGCAGGCUUGCCGUGGUGGGCGCCAGAUCCGACCGGUUUGGCUGGCUCCGGCUCGCCGGCUUUUGCAGGCGGUGAGGUUGAUGGCUCCUGCGUGAGGGUGGCGUCGUCGUCGCGUAGGAGGUGUGUGGUACAGCGGGCUUGCAGACCAGUGGUGAUGCGCCACCGGUUGCAUGUGUGGGGGGGGGGGCUCAGCGAGGUGGCUCCAGGCGAAAUCCUAGACGGCACGACGUCCGUGAACGUCGUUUUUCCUCCUUGGGGGUCGUUGUGGAGCCCUUCCUUGCCCAACACCUUCGAACCAUGGACGCCCCCCCUUGGGGGCGUUGCCUUGAGGGUCACUGGUCUCUUCCGUGCUUUCCGGAGCUGGACACACACGACAUCGGGGUCGGCAGGUACCCGUCUGGCGAUGUGGUUGGCGCGACUUCUUGUGUGGUGACGAUGGCGGCUUCAAGCGAAGUUGGUUUGCUGUUGAGUUUUGGUAGUCGGUCUCAUCCCGCGUGUUCGAGGGGUUGCCGCGCCUCACUUUGUCUUCCUGGAGUCGGAGCUGCUGAGGCGGGGCCUUGCGACGACGAUGACGCGAGGCGGGUGGUCGAUUGUGGCGCUGGCUCGGCUCAGGCUCAGUUGUUUUCUCCUACAAUGCUCGUCGACAGAGUUGGAACUGCUUGGUAGUUGGCGUGUGCGGUUGACUGUUUGGCAGUGGCCGGCAUGGGCCUCGGUGUUUGCUUGUGGUGAGGGCUGUUUUGAUGGUCAUCGAUGAUGUAGUCGGAGUCGCCCUUGUGUAGGUGUGAUGAUGAUGACACCGGGUUGCAGCCUCGACGGUGUUCUCUCUUCGGCGACGUGUGUGCGUUCUUAUGUGGGUUGUCACGUCGCCAUGCGUAUCCUGUAUGGACGUGGUGUAGCAGGUUUCACUCGGUUUUUCGUUAAUUAACCCAGCAAUUCUCUUUUUCUUAAUUAAUGGGAUGAGACAAUGCUUUUGCCUGCGUUUAAAAAAACACUAGCUAGCCGACAGUUUGUUCAAUGCGUGCUGUCAUUUUGCACAAAUGCCUAUGUCUCUACCUACUGUGAGGCGCUCACUUGUUGGGAUGUGGUGCGGGCUGUGGUCCGGUUGCGGUGGAGGAGUAACAUUAGUUUGUUUCGUGCAAUUUUCAAAACAUUUCGUCGGAGUUUUUUUCCUGUUUUCUUUAUUGGGUUUCUUUUUUUUCAUUUUCCCUUUUACUUUUUCUGUUCAUUUAUUUCAUGUAUUGUUUUGUAUUUUAUUUUUCCAUAUUUCAAAUACAGCUUGAUUUUUUUUUCAAAAUAGUAAACAUUUUAAAGUAACCAUAGAAUAUUUUCUAAUACAUGUUUGAACGUUUUAUAAGUACAUGGUGAACAAUUUUUAUAUACAAUGAAUAUUUCUCUAAAAACUGCAAGAACACAUUCUGUUUAUUUAAUGAACAUUUUUAUAUUGCCAUGACCAAUUUUAUAAACAUGCGAAAAAAAUUAAAAUGUAGUGUUUUUUUGGAACAAUGCGAAUAUGAAUUUUAAAACUCUGGAAUAAUUUUUAAGACAAGUUGACAUUUUUUAUUUUUUUACGAGAAAACUUCGGAUGUAUUUAUCCAUUGUCAUGUUAGUAUAAGAAUACCAGAACUAACAUAACUUACAUUCAGAUCCAUAGACCAUCUAACGAUGUCUACAAUCACUUGAUCAAGCCGAAAGUGCACCAUGAUCCUCACUCCUCCCUCAUCGGAGUCGGACAAUGUCCAGUCAUGUUUUUUUUACAAACUGUUAAUCAUGUAUGAAUUUUUCUAUUGUGUAUUUCAAAAUUAUCAUGGAUUUUUAAAAAAUAUUGUGCAUUUUUAGAAAAACUGUUAUUUCAAAGGUUCAUCAUGUAUGAAAAGAAAUCUUCAUCAUAAAUUGUUCAAAUUGUCCACAGUGUAUAAAUUCAGAAAAAUAUGAAGACUUUUUAAUUCUAUGUGUAUUUGAAAAAUGUUUAAUAUUUUGAAACGUUUUAUAAAUACACGAUGAAUAUUUUUAAGUAUAUUAACAGCUAUUAUACUGCAUGAUCACCUAUCAAUAGUACAAACCCAUAUAUUUUAUACGCGAUGAAAAAAUCUGUUAAUAAUAAUUUUCAUGGUGCCUUUUCUUGGAAAUCUUGACCUAGGGUGUAGUUACCUUUCACACAUAUCCGAUAUAUAUUUAAGUAAGUCAUCCCAUUUAAAUGCACAUGCAUGUCAAUCACAUUAUGAAGGGUAUGCAACCAAUAAACUUCCACUUACCACUUUUCAUCACAUGCAGGUCCUCGAUAUCAUCAAGCGUGCAUGUAAUCAUUCGACGUUUCACUUCUCAUCAUAUGCAAGUUCCACAUCAUCAAACACAUGAAAGCUCUUCACCUCAUUAUUUUUUACUAUUUAUUUUUUAGCAACAAAUAAUUGAACUUGAAGGUCACAAGAAAAUAUAUUAUGCGUGCACCCUCUAGUUACAUCUAGGUUUUCUAUUGCCAUAUGCUGAGAAUGUUGUGUGGUAUUAUUCCUACAUAUGCUAUUUUUCAUAAUUUCAUUGCUAUAAAUUUUCGUGACAAUGUGUGUGACGUUUACCUAGUAGUAGCAGAGCCAGCUUACUCACACAGCCUGGGCAUAAAUAUAACAGCGUGCCUAGAACUUAUCUAGACCAGAUAUAAUUUAGUCGCAUUCAUCUAGAAAAUCAAAACAGAUACAAAGUAGUACUACAACUCACGUCGGCACACGCACAUCUUAUAGUCACAUCCAAUGACUAUAAAAGAUGAACGAGACAUAACUAAAAUUCAGUUAGAUGAGUUUUAGCAAAACCGUAAAUAUAACGCACUCGGUCGGGACUUACUUCGUAGGUGAAGGGUAGAGAAGAAGGCCACUGUCUUGCGUGUGAGUGCACUUUAUACAUCUAGAACACCAGACACGUAUACAUAUGUGAUAUGUCUGCUGCUAGGAAGUCAUUCUCUUCUCUUUUGUUGACAUUAGCUUUCCCCCCAAAAAAGACCAUAUAAUAUGAAACAAUCACAUAGAGAGAAAAUAACAGGGACUGCACCCCAUAGAGAAAACAACAUAGACUGCAGUCCACUGACAAAAUAGCUCAUUUAUGUUUUGUUGUUUGGAAAAGGAGGUUCAAACCCCCGGCCUCUGCAUCAAUCGAUGCAUACGGUAGCUCAUUUAUGUGAAUACAAUCAUGCGUAGAUACUCCAAAGAACAACAAGUCGAGUCACAAUGUCCCAUACAAAGUAGAUGAACAUAUACCAACAAGCAAAUACUAGUAAUUACAGAGUACUAGUACUCAUCACGCGUAUAUGGAAAAAUAGAAUGAAAUGGAAUACAGGGAAUACUACUACACCACUUAUUCUAGAAAUAGCACAGUGGGGCUUGGUACGGGGUCUCCUCCUCCAUCAACUCUCAUAUAUAAGUAUCCCAUCAGUCGUGAGCUGCCGGUGGUUUGCACUUCGGAGGUGGUUCAGGUUUAGGCUCGGGCUCCGGCUUUGGUUCGGGUUUCGGCAUCGGCUCGGGCUUAGGAUCUGGCUUUGGUUUGGAGCAGGGCUCAGGCUUUGGUUUUGGCAUUGGCUUGGGCUUGGGUUCUGGUUCGGGCUUCUCUCCAGGCUUUUCUUCAGGCUUUGGUUUCGGCAUCGGUUCAGGUUUGCAGGGCUCUGGCUCUGGUUGUGGUGUAGGUUUGGACAUUGGCUCUGGUUUGGGUUCUGGCUUUGGCUCUAUCUCUGCAAAAAUUUCGACAGCAGGAAGGCCUCGGUCAGCCGCGGCAGCUUGGUUGAGAGUGGAGGCUGCAACUACCCCAAUGAGGAUCAUGGCGAGGAGGCGAUGCCUCGCCAUUGCUGCCUACUUCUUGUGCUUGCAGCUAGUGUUGCACACCUGCUGUGCUUUGUGUGUGGUUGUGUGUGUUGUGUGGAGAACUGGAGAUACAUAUUGUGUGGUUUUAUAGGCUGGGUGAAACAAAGCAGAUCUGGAGGCUGCAUUAAUUAGCAUUGGUUGAUUAGUUGAGUACAAAUGAAGCAACAACCAACGUAGCUAGAGGUGUUAAUAAGAACAGUUGGAUUUUGCCUGAGUGUGUCUCUAAUGCGAUGAUAGUAGGGUGAGUAACAAUAUUUUUACUCUAUUGGUUGCCUCCCGGUAGUAAUAGAAUUCUGUUAGUUGCCUUGUUAAUCUUGUUCACACGUCCUUGUUAGUUGCAUCAUUUAGAAAAAUCAAGAUCGACAGUGUACACGUUAGAGUAAUGCACUACAAGUAAAAAAGCAAUCGCUUGAGUUCAAUUCACAAUGAAAAGUGAAGGUAGUCUUUGAAGAGGAACUGGCUUGAUCGUACGUGCACGUCGUGUGUGAGCUUCACCACCUGUUGGAAACCCUCAAGACUCCUUGGUCUGCUUCCUCGACCGAGUUUUCACGAACUCUGCUGUGUUUUCUCAAGUGGUUUUCAAGAAGGUGGCGUUGGAUUAAUCCAUGCACAAGUUUUGCCAGAUUAUGCUGAAUGAUAUAACAAAAGUGAAGGUGUACAUCAUUUGAUGUCGAUGACGGGGUUCCUCCUUUAACAAAUAAGUGUUUUCUCAAACACUCCCUCUGGCCGGUAUACUGGGCACAGUUCCAAAAUUGUAGAUAUCAAUGAGGAUUUUAUCACGCUUAUUGUCUUAAAUUAUUAAAUCUUAUUAACUCUCCGACAAACUAAGAGCAACUCUAACAGAUCGUGUAUUCUAUGAAACUGUAGAUGUGAUUUAUAGUUCGCACAGCAGGAUCUAUACAGGCUGAAAAUUACAGCGGUAGAAUAGAAACCGUAAAAGAAACUCAAAUUUGCUUGUUGGCUUGAUGACGUGAGUCUCGCCGCCUCCUUCUCCCCUAAUAAUAAAGCAACUAACGCUUCGGUCGUCCGUCGUCGCCGAUCGCAGGACGUUUUGCAGAAAGGCUCCUAAGGUUUUAGGUAUUCAACCCGCGGUCCCUUUUAAGUGGUAUCUGAGAAAACGUUUCAGUUUUGCAAAUUAACCACUGCAUCUCGUGAGAAUUCGAUCCGCACUCCUUUGUUCUAUCUUCUCUAGUGGUGGAGAAGGUGGAAGGGGAAUAACUUCAGCUCGGCUCGUCGGCGAGCGUGUUGCAGGAGGCCGACGAGGAGGCCAGUGGGCGUUGUGCGCUUACAGGGGAGCGGGUAGGCCGGAGGUGGAGGGGAUGGCCGGAGGCUGAGGGCAGUGGAGAGAGAGGCCGAGAGAGUCGGCCCGAGGGAGGGGGGACUGAGAGAAAGAGAGAGAGAGUGUGUGUGUGAGCCGGAGAGGGGCGGUCGCCGGAGCCGGACCUCCAGAACAACGACGCAACAAUCUGGAUGGCACAACGGCUUUGAUCCCGGAGAAUGGUGAUUGAUGGCUGCCAACAGACGGAUCCGGGCGAAGGAGGCUCUGAGAGGCGCAUGGAAGGCUGUCAAGGUUGGGGGCGCCGGAUCCAGAGUUCGCAUGGUGAGAGAUGGGGAGAGGGUAGAAUCUUGCUAGUAUAAGACGAGUUAGAGAAGCGGCAACGCCUGCAGAACAGAGCAUGAAGGCAGCUCCUUUUGAGGAGGCGACGACGGACGACAGAGCUCGUGACUGCGACCUUCUCGGCUCCUGCCGGCGUGGUCACUCAAUUCGCUCCACGGCGCGAUGGCCCAUUGCCGGCAAGGCAGCGUUCUGCAACGCACCAGCCUGCAAUGGAGGCGGUGUCCAUGGUGCAGCCGUGGCCUUCAGCGCACACCGCGGGGGAAGUGCUACCGGACACCGGCUUGGCCCCGAUGCUGCUCCUCCCAGACGGUGGUACCCAUGGCCUGGCCCACUAGCCCCCGACUGAGCUCCCAGCAGAGGCGCACAUCGAUGGAGGCUUCGAGCAGGCCGCUCUGCCAUGCUUGUGCAAUGGGGGUCUGCCCGCGUGCUGGGGUGGGGAUGCACGGAUGGACAGAUCCUGGCAGUGGCUGCCACGGUGGCCGGGCACUAAGUACCGGAGUGAUUCGUGGGUGCAGCACGGACAGCUGUUGUGAGGAGCACAGCCAGGCAUCAGCGCUGGUCUCCUCUUCUCUGUAGCUGCAGGAGGAAUGGUGAUGUUUUGGAUAAGGGUCACGUAGUGCGCAGUUAGGUGAAGAUUUAGUGCCUAUUGCUAUUUUUUGAUCAAUAGUUGUUGGUAGAUGUACACGGACUUAAGCUGCUGGAUACUUCGGUGCUCAUCCCGUUGGAUUUAUAUGCGAUUGUUCGUGACGUUCCAACAAAUUGUUAUUUGCUAGAUGUUCUUUUUCACAUUAGUUCAUUAUAAUUAUUUGAUUGUACCGCCUUAUAGAGCAUCUACAACCGGACUUAACAAAUCUGACCUCUCAAACGUUCAUGGAAACGUCCGGACGCAUCUGCGGACGUUGAUCAAUUAAGCCUCAAAUAACGAAUUCUACAACCGGAUACUUUAAAUUAGAAACCUCAAAUAUAUAUUAUUACAUGCAACAUAAAUCUAAUAUUAAGCGUGGCUCGUUUGGGUCCGCCCUGUCCAUGUCGAAAGGCUAGAUAUGCCCUUCAUAGUGUCCGUCCGAUCGUUAGCAAGGUAGAGUAGGACAUGGGACACUGGCCGGUUCAUGGAAGUCGAGUUUCCGUCGUCUUCCAUGCCCAAUUCUUCCUUAAAUUUAUCACUUAGUGUUACUACAGAACAAUCCAACCGUCAACUGCAAAGUUAGUAUACGGAACUACAUGAUCAGCUUCAAGGAGCAUGUCUACGUGCUCCAACACUAGCGCAUUCAUGAAUAUUUGUUUAUAAUUUGUACAAAAACUUAUUUGGACUUAUUUAAAAUUGUAAACAUUCUAAUGAUCCUAUUUUAUAAUGUUUGUAUAAGUAAAAUCAAAUUUCAUGGCUAAAAGAAAUACUCAGUGUAACCUUACUUCUAAAGCUUGCAAAAAUUAGAUUAAAAUAAUAUUGCAUAAUGACACAGGAAGAAAAUUAUAUUUAACAUUUCGGCCGGUGCAACGGCACGGGCAUUUGUAUUAGUAGAUGUCUAUGACAGCAAGGCACGAACUUGUCACUCCCCGUAGGCAUAUUACCAGUGCCACCCAUUCGUCGAAGCAUGUUAAAUGUUAGCGCACUAAUUUAUAAAAAAAUAAUUUGUGCAUUUACUUUUGUUGUCAGUUUUAGGAUUAAUAUAAUGUUGCUUAAAAAUAUUUGUCGGGUGCUGAAAAAAGGGGAAAAGGACGAUCAAUUUGCCAACUUCACACAAGGGCUCUCAAAAUCAUAGAGCCGACCCUGCCAGCACCAUGUGACUUGUGAGAGAUUAUUAUGGCUUCUCGUAUGUUGUGUAGCACUAUCAUUAAGAGCAAUUCUAGCAGACCCUGCAUCCGCCCCCGAUCUGCAAAAUAACCGCUAAAAUGCGGGUACGGACCGAAAAGCCUGUCCGACCAGACCCUGCAUCCCAUCCCGGCCCGUAAAUUUUUUUCAGGGGCGCGGCAAAUUCUCGACCCCAACCCGGGAAAACACGGGUUUCCCCCUCGCGGCUGCGGUGCCCUGCAUCACAGAGAAGCAGUUGGCGGGAGGGACAUUUCAGCCCGUGCUCUUUUCCCCCUCCUUCCGCCGCCGCCCACCCUUGCUUCCGCUCGCCCGCCGCCGGCGAUUCCGGCCAUAUCUGCAGGCGAGCCGCUGCAUCGCCCCUCCAGAUCCGGCGAGAAGAGUCGCCCCCCCCCACCGCCGGGGAUCGACCACCGUCAAGCGCACCCCCUCGUCGCCGCCCGGGAUCACCCGCCACCGGUUAGUCCCCUUUUUGCGAUUUUUGCGAGCUGUGCGAGAAGAUGGAGUUGACCCCGUGCGAGAAGUUUUUACUAUCCGAUUCGUCCGAUUCGGACGACUCGUAUGUUGAGACCAUGCUUGCGAUCUUUCGGCAGCAAACAUUAGUCAUGGCGCUUGCCGUGAAGGAGCAUGAAGACGAGCACUGGAAGAGGAGGCGAGGAUCGAUUGUCGGGCGCUUGUGCAUUCCUCGAAAUCGCCAUCUUGGGAACGAGAUGUUGAUGCAAGACUAUUUCGCGGAGAAUCCUACAUAUCCUCCGCACCUCUUCCGGAGAAGGUACCGAAUGCGCCGAUCCCUCUUUGUGAAACUUGUUCAAGCUUGCGAGGCAAAUUGCCGGUAUUUUACUCAAAGAAGGAAUGUCGCGGGCUGAAAGGCUUGGUUGUUGUUGUUGUUGUUGUUGUUGUAAGGAAUGCUGCGGGCUUAAAGGGAUUUAGUGCAUAUCAAAAAAUCUCCGCACCUAUGGGGGGUGAUUGCAUAUGGCGUUCCGGCUGACUAUGCCGAUGAGUAUCUUCGUAUUGGUGAAUAUAGCACAAUUGAGUCUGUGCGUAGAUUUGCGAAAGUGAUCAUCCGUGUCUUCGGUCCUGAGUAUCUUCGGGCACCCAAUGAAGGACACAAAGAAAUUGAUGGCAUCUGAUGAGAGGAGAGGUUGGCCUGGCAUGCUAGGUAGCAUUGAUUGUAUGCAUUGAAAUUGGAAAAAUUGCCCCAAGGCUUGGCAAAGAAUGUAUUGUGGCAAGUCUAGUGAUGCAACAAUUGUGCUAGAGGCCGUAGCAUCUGAAGAUUUAUGGAUUUGACAUUGCUUUUUUGGUAUGUCGGGAACUCUCAAUGAUAUCAUUGUGUUGCAACGGUCUCAUUUAUUUGCUAGGCUUGCUAGUGGUGAUGCUCCUGCUUGCAACUACAUUAUCAAUGGGCAUGAAUACACAAAGGGGUACUAUCUUGCAGAUGGUAUGUACCCUCCUUGGUGCACAUUUAUCAAGAGCAUCAAAGAACCCAAAACAAAAAAACAAUGUGAAUUUGCAAGGGUGCAAGAGGCAGCCCGCAAAGACAUUGAAAGAGUAUUCGGUGUUUUGCAAUCUAGGUUUGCCAUUGUCCGUGAUCCUGCUCGUUUUUGGGAUAAGAAAACCUUGAAGAACAUCUUGACAUGUUGUGUUAUCCUGCACAAUAUGAUUCUUGAAGAUGAGAGAGGAUUGGACUUAGAAUUAUUUUACGACAAUGUGGGUAGCCGUGUUUAACCAGCUAGAGACCCAAACCACAUUAGAGAUUUUCUUCAGACAUACAAGGAGAUUGAAAAUGCAGACACGUACUUUCAACUUCAGGAAGAUCUCAUUGAGCACCAUUGGCAAAGGGCUGGACAGUGACUUAUUUUUGUAUUCAUUUGUAUUUGCAUUCAUGACAAGUUUUGUAUUGCACUAUUUAAGUUUGCUACGGUUAUUUGAAUAAUUAUUUAUAAUGCGGAUGAUUAUUGUAUUAUGUUUGAUUCGAAUAAUUUAGUUUGUUUUCGAUUGUUGAAUUAUGUUGUAUUUGAUACUUGCGGGUUGAUGAUAUGCGGGAUGUAGCGGCGCAAAGAGCAGACCCCGCAAAGCCGACCCGUUAAAAAGUAUAUUCCACGAAUGUAUUUUUUUACGGAUCCGUUUGGGGGGUCUGCAUAUGUGUCAGCCUGCAAAAGCUGUUUUGCGCGAACUGCAAACGCGUGUUGUGGACCGGCGGGAUGUGGGGUCUGCUAGAGUUGCUCUAAGAGAUUUUUCUUCGUGCGAACUGAGUAAGAGAAAAUCUUUUAAAAUAACUUUCAUGGUGCCUUUUCUUCGUAAUCUUGACCUAUGGGGUGUAGUUACACGUAAUCUUUGUAAUCUUGUUGGCAGCGCAGGUGGUGGCGGCAACGCAGGACGGCCGGCGGGCGAACGGGACAGAGCAGCAUCGAGUGGCCACCCCUAGGAUUGAUUUGGGGACGUUGUUGGAUGGUCUCACAUGUCAGAUCCAGACCCACAUCCAUGCGGUUCCACAUGUAAGAUCCGGACCCACUAUCACUAACGCCGGCGGACGGAAUGGACUCAAAACUGCCCGUUUGGCCUCGUCAUAGUAGUUGCGCACGGGCUAGAGGCAAAACUGAGCACGAUUUGCAACUGAGGGCAAAAGUGAGCAUAUGGACACCACUGAGAACAAAAAGAUAAUUAUCCCUAUUAAAUAGUGGUGCUUUUUCUACGAAUAUAAUCAAUUCCAUAAUGCUAUCCGCUUUGACCAUCCUAUUACCCUAAAUGGAAAGCAAAGUAGGUUAUUCAGCACACCAUAACUUCGUUCCUUGGUUGACUGCCUGGCCUUCAAGAAACUAGAAAAAAUGUAAUAACUCACUUCACUAUGAGCGGCUCCCUCCCCACCAAUUGGGUAGAUGGAAGCUAUAUACGUAUAGAAAAAAGUAAACCACAAUGAGAAACAUACUUGCCCCAUUAGCAUCCAUAUGACGGAGCAACCAGCCCCCUUCAACAUCUUUCAUAAUGUGUUCUACGCUGUUGAAAGCUAGAUCCACAUGA